rnacentral:rRNA from 1 species
UACGGGGGGGGCAAGCGUUGUUCGGAAUUACUGGGCGUAAAGGGCUCGUAGGUGGCCAACUAAGUCAGACGUGAAAUCCCUCGGCUUAACCGGGGAACUGCGUCUGAUACUGGAGGGCUUGAGUUUGGGAGAGGGAUGCGGAAUUCCAGGUGUAGCGGUGAAAUGCGUAGAUAUCUGGAGGAACACCGGUGGCGAAGGCGGCAUCCUGGACCAACACUGACGCUGAGGAGCGAAAGCCAGGGGAGCAAACGGG